GUGAGUAAUACGUGAGUAACCUGCCUUUGACUCUGGGAUAAGCCUGGGAAACUGGGUCUAAUACCGGAUAUGACAAGGAACCGCAUGGUUUUUUGUGGAAAGGGUUUGUACUGGUUUUAGAUGGGCUCACGGCCUAUCAGCUUGUUGGUGGGGUAAUGGCUCACCAAGGCGACGACGGGUAGCCGGCCUGAGAGGGUGACCGGCCACACUGGGACUGAGACACGGCCCAGACUCCUACGGGAGGCAGCAGUGGGGAAUAUUGCACAAUGGGCGCAAGCCUGAUGCAGCGACGCCGCGUGAGGGAUGACGGCCUUCGGGUUGUAAACCUCUUUCAGCAGGGAAGAAGCGAAAGUGACGGUACCUGCAGAAGAAGCGCCGGCUAACUACGUGCCAGCAGCCGCGGUAAUACGUAGGGCGCGAGCGUUGUCCGGAAUUAUUGGGCGUAAAGAGCUUGUAGGCGGUUUGUUGCGUCUGCUGUGAAAGACCGGGGCUUAACCCCGGUAUUGCAGUGGGUACGGGCAGACUAGAGUGCAGUAGGGGAGACUGGAAUUCCUGGUGUAGCGGUGAAAUGCGCAGAUAUCA
rnacentral:rRNA from 1 species